GCACUUAGUUUGGCAGCACAUAAACUAACACUGGAACAUUACAGAGAAAAUUUGUUGGCCCCUGAGAAAGGAUGACAUGAAAUUUGGGAAGUGGUCUAUAUGUUU